rnacentral:rRNA from 1 species
UACAGAGGUUGCGAGCGUUAAUCGGAAUGACUGGGCGUAAAGGGCGCGUAGGUGGAUAAGUGUGUUGGAUGUGAAAGCCCCGGGCUUAACCUGGGAACUGCAUACAAAACUGCUUGUCUAGAGUGGAGCAGAGGUGAGUGGAAUUUCCGGAGUAGCGGUGAAAUGCGUAGAUACCGGAAGGAACACCAGUGGCGAAGGCGACUCACUGGGCUCAAACUGACACUGAGGCGCGAAAGCGUGGGGAG